CCUACGGGAGGCAGCAGUGAGGAAUAUUGGUCAAUGGGCGCGAGCCUGAACCAGCCAAGUCGCGUGAGGGAAGACGGUCCUAUGGAUUGUAAACCUCUUUUGUCGGGGAGCAAAAGACGCCACGCGUGGCGUUCCGAGAGUACCCGAAGAAAAAGCAUCGGCUAACUCCGUGCCAGCAGCCGCGGUAAUACGGAGGAUGCGAGCGUUAUCCGGAUUUAUUGGGUUUAAAGGGUGCGCAGGCGGAAGAUCAAGUCAGCGGUAAAAUUGAGAGGCUCAACCUCUUCGAGCCGUUGAAACUGGUUGUCUUGAGUGAGCGAGAGGUAUGCGGAAUGCGUGGUGUAGCGGUGAAAUGCAUAGAGAUCACGCAGAACUCCGAUUGCGAAGGCAGCAUACCGGCGCUCAACUGACGCUCAUGCACGAAAGUGUGGGUAUCGAACAGGAUUAGAUACCCUAGUAGUC
rnacentral:rRNA from 1 species